UGAUGCUCGGGAGAAGGUGCUGCAGA
rnacentral:piRNA from 1 species